GAAUGGAAAUUAGCUCCAUCCUUUCCCAGGGAGCUCCAGGCAGAAGGUAGUUAGAUGAGUUACAGGCCAAAGGUAGUUAGCUGAGCUACAUGCAGAAGGUAGUUAGAAGGUAGUUAGCUGAGUUACAGGCCGAAGGUAGUUAGCUGAGCUACAUGCAGAAGGUAGUUAGCUGAGUUACAGGCCGAAGGUAGUUAGCUGAGUUCCAGGCAGAAGGUAGUUAGCUGAGUUACAGGCAGAAGGUAGUUAGCUGAGCUACAGACAGCAGGUAGUUAGCUGAGUUACAGGCCGAAGGUAGUUAGCUGAGUUACAGGCCGAAGGUAGUUAGCUGAGCUACAGACAUAAGGUAGUUAGCUGAGUUACAGGCAGAAGGUAGUUAGCUGAGUUACAGGCCGAAGGUAGUUAGCUGAGCUACAGGCCAAAGGUAGUUAGAUGAGUUACAGGCCGAAGGUAGUUAGCUGAGUUACAGGCAGAAGGUAGUUAGCUGAGCUACAGACAGAAGGUAGUUAGCUGAGUUACAGACAGAAGGUAGUUAACUGAGCUACAAACAGAAGGUAGUUAGCUGAGCUCCAGACAUAAUGUAGUUAGCUGAGUUACAGGCAGAAGGUAGUUAGCUGAGUUACAGGCCGGAGGUAGUUAGCUGA
ensembl:lncRNA